ensembl:lncRNA
GUUGUGGUGAGCUGGGGGUCAGCCUCUUCUCCCAGGUGACUAGUGAUAGAACGAGAGGGAAUGGCUUCAAGCUGCGUCAGGGAAGGUUCAGGCUGGACGUUAGGAAAUACUACUUCUCUGAAAGGGUGGUCAGGCACUGGAAUGGGCUGCCCAGAGAGGUGGUGGAGUCACCAACGCUGGAGGUGUUCAAGGAACGUUUGGAUGUUGUAUUGAGGGACAUGGUUUAGCAAGAACCAUUGGUGAUGGGCAAAUGGUUGGACUGGAUGAUCCUGUGGGUCUUUUCCAACCUUAGUGAUUCUAUGAUUCCAUGAUUAUAACAAAAUAGCUUUUUAGUGUGUGACCUGAGGGAGUUAUUUCAAGUGGUAUCCAGCAGCUCUCUCUAUAACUCUCAAAUUUCA